rnacentral:lncRNA from 1 species
AAGGAAGAAGUUAAAACAAUCAAAGAGAUCAACCACUUCAUCUUCUUCAAGAAUUUAAAGAGUUUACUAUUUUGAACUUUAAAUUUUUGUAUACCUUUCUUAAUUUAUUAUGACAAGUUUCUUCAAGAAAAAAAUUUUGGAUUGAUCCAAGCUUUAAGUUGGAUAUUGUAAGGUUAGAUUGGUGACCUCGUGAAAACCAACUGAAUUGAUUGUGACCCUGAAAAAUAAUCGGAUAUAAGGUUGUAGUUGAUAAUCAUGUGAAAAUUAAUUGAAUUGAAUUAUGAAGUUAAAAAAAUAAUUGGACUAUAAUCUUGAGGGGUUAUAGUUGAAAUUUUUAAGUGGGUUGACUUGGAGAGUGGAUGUAGG